ensembl:lncRNA
GGGGAAGAAGUUUGCCCCCGCAUACGCCAAUAUUUUUAUGGCUGAGUGGGAGGACUCAGUCCUGAAAAUGUGUCCCAAAAAACCGUCACAAUACUACAGAUAUUUGGACGACAUCUGGGGUGUGUGGCCUCACUCGCGAGAGGAUUUUGACAUCUUUCUUGGAAUCCUCAACAGCUUUAAUCCAUCCAUCACCAUUAAAUCCACUAGCAGCCCCAGCAGAGAGGUGGACUUUUAUUCUGCUGUCAAAGUGUUGUUUCGCGCGCUGUCCAGCAGAGGGUACUCUCGCUCUUUCCUUAGAAAGUGCCAGAGGAAUUUCCUUGUUAAAAAGCCCAUCAUGGUUGGUUCAAGCCUCACCUUUGUGACCACAUACUCACCAUCCACCAGAGACUUGGUUAGAGGCUGCAGGGAAAGAUUCCUUCACCACACCAGAGACAAGGACGUUCUGCAGGAUUUCAGAAUUAUUCCGGCUUUCCGGAGAAAUAGAAAUCUGCAGGAUUUUUUGGUUAAAGCUAAAAUAAGACCUCUAUAUAUUCCACAAGUCAGGAACCCGGUAGACUAUUUUAAGCAGCGGACAUGGCUCCGGAGCCAUAGCACAAAAGAGGUCUUCCACAUUAUGGUUCGGGGUCAUGUCAAAUGCAAAAAUUGUGUUUCUUAUUAUGUGCCAGUCUUGUGGCCUGCAGUAUGUGGGGGAGACGGGCAACAGCAUCGCCACCAGGAUGGCACAACACAAAUAUAACAUUACAAACAGAAAAAAGAUACAGACGCCAUUAGUGGCACAUUUCAUAGUACAUGGAUGGAAAUCCUUAUCCACUAGCAUUCUCCAGUGCAACCCCAGGUGGAGUCCUCCCCUGAGGAGGAGAGCUGAGAGGCUGUGGAUCAACAAGCUGGACACCUUGCAUCCUAAAGGCCUCAAUGAGGGUUGAGAGGUGCAGACAGUGGGGUGGUGCUGGACUGUGCAUCGAUGGUCCUGUUCGCAGGACCUUCACAAUCCUUUAAUCCCUAACCCUAACCCUAACCCCUAACCCAGGGAGAACCCUACAUAAGGCACACACACAUAAUCGCCCUACACGUAUCACCCAUAACCCUGGACCUCUUCUGCCUUUGAUGAGUUUAACACCACUUACACAUAGUCUUCCUACACACAUUUCAUCUCCCCUGGGGCCGAGAAGUGAAGAGGGUCCCAACCAUGGCCCUCGUCCCCUCCUCCCCAACCUAAGGAGAAAUCCGCAAACCACACAUGGUUUACCUGCAGACACAUUUUUAUUAGCCAAACUCUACUUUAAACUAUUACAGGCAAUUCAUCAUACAGAAAUUCUGGACACUACACUCAACACCCAUACAUUCCCACAGGACAUGAUGAGACAGGUAAUUCGCCUUUCCUCCUUCAUCAAGCCCUCCUCACCCAAUGACAUCACCCGCACCAAGAUCAAAGAAAACACAGACACCUGGAUGACCAACAAUAUGCACAUUCUCCGUCAACAUUAUCAGUCCGUCAUCUCUGGAGGUUUGGAGAACCUCCCCCCCUUUAACCCAAUCCCCUUCAAUAAAGCGAUCCAGUGGGGGAGAUCGAGGUAUGGGAGGAAGCUCACCUCCUCCUCGAUUAACACACUGCGGGAGACCAUCACCAACCCGGCUGCGGAGGAGGUGCCUUCCCCUCCCCGACUCUCCCCCCUGGAGUACCCUCCCCUUCCUGAAGCGUCCAACUGUAAUACCAAACUGCCUUCCCCCACUAUCACUCUACCCAUCACUUCACUGAUCCCUCCACCCCCUUCCACGCCCCCCUCCCUCUCCAACACCCCCUUACCUCGUCUUAACUCUCCAGUCCCUCCUAUUUCCUCUUUAUUCCCCCCUCUCCCCCUUUCACCUGAUGGAGACCUCUGUACUUCCCCUAAAGGCGCGGACAACCCCACCAGGACUCCUCCACCCGCUCUCAGGCGUAACCCAGAACGAACGGUUAAAGUCAUGGUGCAUCCUCUCUCCCAGAGAGUAGUCCAACGCCUUACUCGGAGAGCUAUUCGUCCUGGUGCCCCCCCCGCGCCUUCACCCACCACUCCCCCCGUACACAUAGACACUUCACACCCCCUCACCCUCCCUUACAAUAAUGUUGCUCUCCCAUGUAGUAACACCAUCUCUUUUCUCUCUUCAGAAACACUUCAACAGCAGAGGGAGCCGGAGCAGGUUGUCAUCGGUCCUGCUGAUGAUCAGAUAACAACUGAGGCGGGCGUUGAAAACAACAGGAUGAUGGCAGGGACAGUCGGUCCAACACUGACCUCAAUCCCACCACCUGAAACGCCCGCCACUGAUUCCAGCAGUGACCUCUUGACACCAUCCGGCCCCCCACCACGUACAGAACCAUAUAAACACGGCAAAACCUUUCAGAAGGCCAAGUUCUGGUCGUUGGAGGUCUCUAAGAAGGUGGUCAUUAUCGGGGACUCGAAUCUGGCCCGCAUCCCUUCUUUCUCAGACCCCGACAUCCAAAUAGAUAGCUAUCCUGGUGCAAGCUUUAAGAAUAUUUUUGACAUCCUCUUCAAACUCACCCCUCACCCAGAGACCACUCAGGUCAUCCUUUCUGUAGGAAUAAUCAACUGCCUCUCCCUCAACACCACCGUCACCAUCUCCAAGAACCUGGCUCUAUUAUGGAGAACUGCUAAAGCCAAAUUCCCCAACGCAACCAUUCACAUUCCCAUCAUUAAUUUUUCACCACCCAAUACACGUUCACUCCUCAAUCACCUCAACACCAUCCUUGCCAACAAGUAUAACUUUAUCCCGGAAAUAAACCCCCUUCUCUUUCAGGUCACCCCGGAUCACAUACAUUGGACACCCCAGACGGCGGAGAUGAUCUUCCAGUACUGGAAAACACAUUCAAACUGCUUAAGGGGGAGGAAUGUGACCACACAUCUCCCCCUCUUACAAACAUCACUAACCUUUGCUCUGCCCUCUCCCUCACACCCACACAGUUGGAGAUUUUGGAAAAAGGACUCUCCUUCAUCCCCACUCCCAAACCUCCAACCCGGCCGGAGCUCAGGGGGGGGAUCUCCACACUUUUCACAGGAGGCUUAAACUGCUAGAUCACUUCUGGGGAGCCCCGAGGCGGGAGCCUGUACCCUUUACCGGACCGUCCUCCUGGGAACCGUCCCCAAACACCAUCUCACCAGAAAUCAACCAACUCAUUCAGGACAACUUGCUAGCACUGACAAAAUGGAGCCCCCAUAUGCACACAUAGUCCAACAUUAGCUUACAACACAAACACAUUCUUAAAACAUUGGGCAAUAGCAAACACAGUCAUCAAACCAGCGGACAAAGGGGGCCAAAUAGUUUUACAGGACAGACAUAAUUACAUAUUAGAAGCAGACAGACAAUUAAAAAACCACACAUAUUAUGCACCACUCACACAUUCAUUACAAAUAGCUACACAACAUUUAAUUCGAGACAUCACACAUAGCCUUUUAAACAAUCAUUAUAUCAACUCAAAACAGAAACAGUACUUGGACGGUCCGGAGGAACCCAGGCCCCGCCUCUUCUACUUGCUCCCCAAGAUUCAUAAGCCUCCGGAAACCUGGACGGUCCCCUUUGUUGUUCCGGUCGGCCGCCCCAUAGUCAGCGAUUGCGGUUCCGAGUCCUACAAUAUCACAGAAUACAUUGAUCAUUAUAUCAACCCUCUUUCCAAAUUACACCCCAGUUAUCUUAAAGACACAUACCAAUUCGUCCGUAUAAUCAAUAAUGUUAAAGUACCCGGUCAUAGUUUUCUUUUCUCCAUAGACAUAGACUCCCUCUACACAAAUAUUGAAACUUCAUUAGGCCUCAUUGCCAUUCAGGACAUUUUUAAACAGCACCCUGACCCGGCCAGACCAGAUAAAGAACUGUUGCAACUACUACACAUCACCCUGACUCGGAACGAUUUCUCAUUUAAUAAUAAAUAUUAUCUCCAGUUGUGUGGGUGCGCUAUGGGCCGGAAGUAUUCCCCGGCCUAUGCGGAUAUAUACCUGGCCCAUUGGGAGAGAGCAGCCUUCACCAAACUUCAAUACAAGCCCCUCAUCUACUUCCGGUACUUGGACGACAUCUUCGACGUCUGGGACCACACUGAGGAACAAUUUCACACAUUUUUGGACACUUUAAAUGCACAUCACCCUAAAAUCAAACUCAAACACAACCUUCAACAUCUGGCAGUUGAGUUCCUUGAUACAAUUGCCUUCUUUCGGACCUCCGACGACCAGACCAAAACUCUGGCCACUAAGGUAUAUUUUAAAGACACGGACCGUCACGCCCUUUUACAUAAAUCGAGUUACCACCCCAAACACACGUACAGAGGCCUCAUCAAAUCCCAACUGCUCAGAUUCCACAGAAUCUGCACAGACGAGGAUGAUUUUUGGAAGGUGGUUAAAAUCCUUUUCCGGGCGCUCAAAAUGAGGGGAUAUUCCAGAUCCUUCUGCAGGAGAGGCCUUAAAACCUUCCUAAAAAAGAAACCAAUCUCACUCACUUCUAAUAUCCCGCUCAUUACCACGUACUCACCCUCUACUCUGAACCUCUCUAAUCAAUUUAAAAACAAUUUUAUCAAUGGCAUUACAGGGUUGUUGAUAUUACAAAAUCACAAUAUAAUCCCGACCUAAAUAAAAACCUUCAGGACUUUCUAGUGAAAGCUAAACUGCCACCGCUCUCUAAACCUAAACUUAGAUAUAAAGGGGAUUUCUUCAAACGUUGGUUCACCAACAAUAGCACAGGAUAAGUUUUUCAGACGCUCACUCAUGGCGACCCUGCCACGAAAAACUGUGUGUAUGUUAUCUCGUGCAAAAAGUGUGCUCUCAUGUAUGUGGGUGAGACUUGGAAUGCACUCGCCACCCGCAUCACACAACAUAGAUAUAACAUCACCAAAAAGAAGAAGACAUCCACCCUUGGUCAAACAUUUUAUUCUUCACGGAUGGUCAUCCCUGUCUGCUACAAUUGUGCAGUGUGACGACAGGUUGACCACGACCCAGUGGAGGACAGCAGAGAGGACGUGAAUCUCCAGACUGGGAACAAAAGACCCACAAGGCCUAGACGAAAAAUGAGAACCUCGCAGCAGGGCCCGGCGAUGGACAGCACAUCUGGGGCGGUGUUGUCUCACGCAACACCUCCACCAAAACCCCACCCUAACCCAUCACACCGACUGUUCUGCCACCAGUGUCCGAAGAUCAUUCUUCAUAUGGGACAUCGAACUGGGACGCCCCGCCGUCUGGAACUUUUUUCUCUUAAACUCCUCCAUCCAUCACGCCAACUGUUCUGCCAACAGUGUCUGAAAAUCAUGCACCAAACUCUGACAUCGGACUGGGACGCCCUGCCGUCUGGAGCAUCCUUCUCUUAAACUCCUUCCAUCACAAGUCCAAAGCCGGAAAAUA